AUUGAACGCUGGCGGCAUGCCUUACACAUGCAAGUCGAACGGCAGCACGGGAGCAAUCCUGGUGGCGAGUGGCGAACGGGUGAGUAAUAUAUCGGAACGUGCCCAGUCGUGGGGGAUAACGCAGCGAAAGCUGUGCUAAUACCGCAUACGAUCUACGGAUGAAAGCGGGGGAUCGCAAGACCUCGCGCGAUUGGAGCGGCCGAUAUCAGAUGAGCUAGUUGGUGGGGUAAAGGCCCACCAAGGCGACGAACGGUAGCUGGUCUGAGAGGACGACCAGCCACACUGGAACUGAGACACGGUCCAGACUCCUACGGGAGGCAGCAGUGGGGAAUUUUGGACAAUGGGCGCAAGCCUGAUCCAGCAAUGCCGCGUGCAGGAUGAAGGCCUUCGGGUUGUAAACUGCUUUUGUACGGAACGAAACGGCUCCUUCUAAUACAAGGGGCUAAUGACGGUACCGUAAGAAUAAGCACCGGCUAACUACGUGCCAGCCGCCGCCGUAAUAC
rnacentral:rRNA from 1 species